AAUCAAAAAAUGAUUGAUAAUUGAGUACUAUUAAUAGUAUAGUAAUCUAAUUUUAUUUAUUAGGUCUUCGGUCCUUGAAUGAAAAAAAUAUACGGUUAUAGUAAUGUGGGCCCCCAGGAUUGAGUAAGUUAUUAGUUUAAUAGUAUAAUCUAACAUGUAAAAAUAGCUCAAGGAUUAAAUCUAACGGCAGAAAACUUGAGAGCACCAAACGCUUGGUGCUAUCGAUAGUAUCCCAGGCGGACUCUUUAUUAUAGUAUUUAUUGGCCACUACAAGCAAGAAUAAACAAGGCCCGAUAGCUGAGUCCGGAUCAAAGGCCAACCCAGAAGCCCAAUAAACUAUUUUGGGCCAUGUUUAACCCUUGAAACUAAAACUGGACAUUUUUCUUCAAAAUUAUAGAUUUACGCAAGCGCAUGAACCAGUCAUAAAACUUUUACUAGAUUAGUUCGUGCACACAGUCAGAAAUAUUUUAAGCAUUCUGAAGGGCAAUUUGAAGUCCGAAAUUAAGAUUCCAGCAGAGUAAUAUUUUCAGAGAGAAUGGGCCUACAUGCCAAUUAAUAGACCUGCAGGUCUUUUUCCCCCCAAAAUAAUAAUAAUAAUAAUAAUAAUUCUUGUGUAGAGAAGUUACUAUUUGUUAUGUCACUGUUGUGCAUCUCACGAUCACAAACGUAUCGUUUAGUGUUGUCCUUUUAAUUCUUUUUUUUUUUUUUUAGAGAGAUAGGUAGCACGCUACCCGCUUCGUUUAUUUCAUUUAGAAAUAAACUUAGAUAGAAAAUAUGAAUCAACUAGGAUUCGAAUUUGGGACCUCGAGUACCAACCAUCAAACCCUUUUUCACUUGCUUUAGGAACAGCCGGUUCUUUUAAUUUGUUAUUGUUCACAUGUACAGUGUGAAGUCCAUGAAUUACCACAUCAAAUUUGUUUGGAACGUGCAAUAUUAACCAAAAUAAUUUGUAGAUAGAAACCAACAUGGAUAAAAAAUAAAUACUCUUGCUUGUUUCAUUACGUAAUAUUACGUUGCCCGUCUCUUGAUGAAUCAUUUAUUAUAUAUUUUUUUGCUGUUCUAGCAAAAAAUAGAGAAAUGAGUCACUUAAUUAUAAUAUAUUUUGUACGAUGCCACUGAACAAUAGAUAGACAUACUCGAUUUUUAAUAAUGUUAUAUGGCCGUCAAUAACAGACGAACUCUUAAUCCGAGUUAAUUUUUUCACGUUGAUAUCCGAUUUUCUAUUUUUUUAAUUGAGCUUUUAAAAUUUAGUAACUGUUUAAAUCAAAUCCGUCUUUCGAAAUGCAUGUUAACUUGGAUAGAAAAACCCACUGGUCUUCUUUGAUGACAUAAAGGACUUGAUUGGAACAAUUAAUGAACGUUAGAGAUUUAAUUAGGCAAGAUUAGGAUAAAAAAAGAACUAAUCACGCAAUUAAUUAACCUCAAAAACCAUUCUAUUGAAAAAAUAAAUGAUGGGUGUGUAAAUUAAGUCUAGAAUCUUUAGUAACUAAAGAGACUUAGAUAAUGGUGUACUCUAAAAACUUAAACAGUUAGAUAACGGUGUUUAAAUAUUUUUAUAUUUAGAUAACGGGGUUUAAACAUUUUUAUAUUUAACACUCCCCCUUACGUCCUUACGUCUGGACUUGAGACUUUUUAGUCGACUCAUGACGUACGUGGGCUUGAAUUAAAUGGGAGGAAAUUAAUAUGCUAGGAGCCUGACGUGACUCGAACUUAGGACCUCCUACUCUGAUACCAUGUGAAACAACCAUUGUACUCUAAAAAAUUAAGCUAUUAGAUAAUGGUGUUUAAACAUUUUUAUAUUUAACAGAGCCAUCUCUAACAUGAUAAUUGUAAUCUAAAAAUAUGCCCGUUUAGAAGCAACUCAAUAGUGGUCUUAACAAAUGUCACUAUCCAUCAAGCAUGUGAGUAAAUUUUCAUUUCAACAUCAUAAAAUGGAAUAGCAUCACCUAGCGCAAUCGCAACACACCAAUUAAGGAUGUGGUUGGACCUAAACCAUCAAGAAGUGGUCCAUUCCAUGAGAGCAAGCCAAUGUUCCUUGCAAUUCAAGUUGUUUCAAUCAAAAUGGGCAUAUAGCCUAAAUAAUGAACCCGACCAUUAUUGGCAUGUUCUAAUUGCCAAAGAGAGAUGGAACAAUAACUCUGUACCUUCUUGUCAUUUCACAUUGUUUUGUCUUUGUUAUUCCCAUAGUAGAGAAUGAAAGGUCGCUUUAGAUCAUAUAUUAUUACGAUUCGAUCUACUAGCAAUAAUAGCUUAUUAGAUCCGAACCAUCUCUGACGUCCUCAUCAACAUGAUCACACACAUAGCCCAAAAGAUGUAAAGCCUCCCGCACACUUUUGAUUGGUAAACUGGUUAUAAUCCCAAAUAUAACGAUCCGAUCUAUUAACAAUAAUAACUCAUUCGAUUCAAAUCACGGACCCAAAAUAUACUUAAGUCUAGAUAUCAUUGUUAGGAUACGUGAUCUUUUAAGUUUUUCAAUCACAAUUCUAUUCUCAUUCGAAACGAGACUAUUAGGGUGUCACAUAUAUACUAUAGGGAGAAAUGGGUCGAUUCACAUAAGUAAUUGAGAGAACGGUGUUAGUAAUAAACUCUAAUGAGUAGUGAGUAUCAUGGGCUCCAUUUUCAUUCAUUGCGAGAAAGGGUUUUGGGAAAUACAAUGCGAGGAAAAAGCAGAGAAAACACUUGGGUGAGGGAGUGGAUCGAGGACCACAAUGCAUGUCCACUCCACAGGAAAGAGAGAGCUUACAAAAAGAAAAAGCCAAAAAAAACAAAAAAAAAAAACGUUCUUGCUCUAUUCCACUAUUGUGGCAAAUAUAUGUACUUUUCAUUUAAAUAAUGUAGUCUCUAAAUUUUCUGAUUUUUUUUUUUUUUUUUUUUUUUUUUGGGGCCUAGUUGUCUAGUACCUUGAAUUUUGUAACGAAAUAAUCAUGUUAUCCUUUCUGUAAAAUACGUACCUAGCUAGCUAAUAUGUUUUAAUUCAAUUCAAACCGUGAUUAAAAUUUUCUUUUGCAUACCAAAGACCAACAUUUUUCUAAUAAAUGUUCAAGACCUAAAAUGCAGCAUCCAUACAUAUGAAAAUGGCUUGACUUUCUUACUUGUCCCCUUCAUAGAUUACAGUUAAAUUAGAUCCAUGAAUGCAAUAAUUUCCUCUAUGUGAGGAAGAUUGAGACAGUUCUAUGAAGUUGGGUUAAAAAGCAAGCAAAUUUAGUGACCGAAAAUAAUGUUUGGCGGCCGAGAAAGGAACAAGAAAAUUUAGUGAUUUCAUGCUUUGUGCACCUCCUUUAAAAAAAAAAAAAAAAAAAAAAAAAAAAAAAAAAAAAAAAUGUUCUGAGAGAUUAGUAAUGUUAUAUCCAAUAGCUCCUGAAAGUAGAUAAGGACAGUAACGAAUAUCUCACCAACAUGUAGCUUUGUUACAAUCAUAUACGAGUACACUUCACACAUAUUUCAGAAAAAUUAAUCACUUCAAUAUAUGUAUUCUACUUUCCGCGAGAGUGCGUACAUAUGGUAUUAUUUAUUUUUUUAGCCCAAAAACAUGCUAUAAUUUAACAAGUACGAAUUCCACAAUCAUUUUUAUCUAUACUCGAACAUUAACAGCAUCACGCAUGUUAGCUCAAUGAAAGAGUGAGAAUGUACUCCUCUUGGGUGAUAAGAUAAUUGGGCAUUAGAAUUAACACAAAGAAAUUAAUUAAGAUCACCCAUGGGAUCUAUUGAAAGAAGAUGUUGGAGAGGUACAGUACGAAAUGGGGAGACCUUUGAAGUGUAGGUGGAUCAUGUCCAACGAAAUUUAAUUAUAAAGGAAAGCUUGGGGACCAUGGGUAUGUACAUAUAAUAACCAUUUUGUACUCAUGCAUGCAUGUGUAAGGAUGAGAGAAGUUAAUGGGUGGUGCAUUAUUCAUGUGAAUGACUCUAAUGUUCACCUACUUUGAGUUUGUGUGUUGUGGUGACACUUGACACUUCUUAAAUUCUACGUACAAAUUCGUGGGAUGGGGGAGGAGGAUGCAUCAUCCUCUCAGCUUGAUUUGGUUGCCUCAAAAUAGUUAUUGUAUAGCCCAAAUGUACAUGAAGAGUAUCGCAACAUCGAUCACCGUGUGCUCCAUGUUGCAUAGAUAGUGAAUUGAAUUGUUACAUAGAGUAUUACAGCAAUUAAAUCAUGUGCCAGCCAUCUCUUGAACUCGUAGAAUAUAAUCACCGCGAAAGCAAAGACGGGAACAUGCAAUAAGAUUAUAAACAUGGAGGAGGGAAUUUGUAACACCUUGAUAGUCUCAUACUCGAUAGAAAAGAAACUGUAUGUACAUGUGUUGACUAUUUAAGAUUUAAGUAAUUUAAUAUACGUAAUUUGAAUAUCAAAUAAAAAAGACGCAAGUUUCUAUGCUUCUACGCAUAUUUCACUUCUGUUCUCAAACUUCUGGUUGAACAUUCGGAGAUCUAAACAUGUAGAAGAAUUUUACUUCGGUCCUCGCUAUCACUUUUUAAUAGAGAAAAAUUAUCACACGCACUAGGAGUAUCUGUAUAUCUUUGAAUUCAACCAUUCAUCUAUCUUGUACUUGCAAUCUAGCAGUCCAUGAGUAGUAAAUAGGCUACAACUAAGCUAAAUGGAUGGUUACGAAAUUAUAAAUUUAACAUGUAGGGGUGUAAACGAGCCGAACACGAGCUGGCUCACUAAAGUAUCGAGCCGAAAAAUUCAGCUCAUGUUCGGCUCGUUUAUUAACGAGCCGAACACGAGUUGGCUCACGAGCUGGCCAACGAACAAUAAAUUAAAAAAAAAUUUGAUUAAAUAUAUAUAAAAAAUAAAUUUAUAAAAUCUUAUCCAUGAGACUUUGAUGUAAUAGUUGAAACUUUACACAUAAAUGAGUCUUUUUAUAAUUAAGCUCGCAUUUAUAUUUUUAUUUUGCUAAAAAUUAAAUAAUAAAAAUAUAUAUUAUAUAUAAUUAUUUAUUUAUAUAUAAAAAUAUAAAUUAAAUAAAUUAUAUAAAUAUAAAAUAUAUGUAUUCGAGCUGUUAUCGAGCCGAACACGAGCGAGCUAAUCCCAGCUCAUGUUCGGCUCGUUCAUUAAACGAGCUGAAAAAUCCAGCUGGUGUUCGGCUUGUUUACUAAACGAGCGAGCCGAUCUCGAGCUCAUUUCGAGCCGAACACGAGCUAGCUCACGAACAGCGAGCUGGAUUGCCACCCCUAAUAUGAAUAUGUAUAUAUGUCGAUAUAUACAUAUGGAGUGCAAUGGGUGUGGAAAAUUAAAUUAUAGCUCAUUAUUAACUAUUAUCUACCGCAUUAAUUCUACUGCAUCUAAUUUGGAGGACUUGGUCCAUCAAAUAAUUUCUCCAAAUUAGAAAUUACCACAAUGCACAGGAACGUGAGGAGAAAAGAAUGGGUGUAGAAAAUUAGCAAAUCAUAGAGCAAACCAUAUCUAUACAAAUCUAUGAAUCCCUAAUAUCUUGCUGACGUGGCGUGACCUCCUUCUUCCAAAACCGCUUCCCUCUCAUCUCUCAAAACUGCUCCCCUCUCAUCUCCCAACCUUCGAGACCCCUCAUUUUCCAAAACCGUUCCCAUCUCAUCUCCCAACCCACGAGACCCCUCAUCUUUCAAAAUCGUUCCCUUCUCAUCUCCCAACCCCCGAGACCCCUCAUCUUCCAAAACCUCCUGCCACUCCUCCCUCCUCCCCCCUCCUCCUCAAACUCCCCGCGGCACCCUCCAAACCCCUCAUCUCCCAAACCCCUACUCCGACGGCGGCGCUUCCCCCCCUCCCCGCCACGUCCUCUCUGUUGCGCUCCUCUCCCUUUCCCUCUUCUCCUUCACCUGUCAUCUCGCUUCCCUUGUUUAAAUUAACCCUGGAUUAUUAUAUCAAAUUAAAAACAGUUUCUUACUCAUUUUUCUUGGGCUGCGUACAUAAUUAUCUAUCUAUCUAAAAAUUAAUUAGAGUAUUGUUCUUCUGAAUCACAUCAACCAAAGACUAGCUUUAUACGAUCAUGUUAAUAAAAUGUUAUAGGCCGAAUGUAAGAUUAAGUGAUUAAAUAUCACUCAAGAGAGCAAUGUUACCUGUGCGUUUAUUUGUAGAGUGUAAAGUUUGCGCCCCACUAAUCGAAAGAUUACUAUUUUUUAGCAGUCUUAUCAGUCUUUAUUUUUCUAAAACUAAAAACAUAAGAGGGGUUUAUAAACGCUUGGAUGGACUAUGGAUAGGUGGCCGGUAAUCUACUCAAAAUAGUAAUAAGAGGAAUGAACUUGGUCCCAACAUUGAUCUCCCAUCUUUUUUCUCUGGACCAAUCAAAAUUCUUACUACUGCCGUGUUACCGAUUUAUUGUAAAAUAUAUAUAAGUGGGUGUAGCAUUACUAAAAAGGAAUUUAUAUAAUCAAAAUGUUAUAGAAUGUACGAUUAAGUGAUUAAAAAUAUUACUCAAGAUCGGUGCACCUAUUUAUAGAGUGUAAAUUUUGCCCCACUAAUCCAAAGAUUAUUAAUUUUCAGUAGUCUUAACAAUCUUUAUUUUUCUAAUACUAAAAAAUCUAAAAGGGGUUUAUAAACUCUUGGAUGGACGGAUGUAUAAAGAGAUGGUAAUUUUCUACUCAAAAUAAUAAUAAGAAAUCAAUCAAAACUAUUAAUACCACCGUGUUACGUACUAAUAUAUUGUAAAAUAUAUAUAAUGGGUGUAGCAUUACUAAAAGAGAAUUUAUAUAAUCAAAUUAAGUUUUGAUAUCUUCAGAACAAAUAUAUUGAUUAUAUUAUCUAAGCAUGAUUUGAAUAUUUUUAUUUUUUUCGCAACAAUAAAAAUGGUCUCGGCUAUAUCGAUCAAUCGCUGUACAAAAGUACUACUAACAGGGGGAUGAACUUCAAAACUUUUCCUAUCUUUUUCUCCAGGCCAAUCAAAGGAACAACUCUAAACCUAACCCUAAUCUCUACUUUUGGUGACCUAAUCUUUGAGAUGCUCUCUCUCUCUUUGUGUGGUCCUUUUAAUAGGUACAUCGAUCCCUCUUUUCUCUCUCUAUCUCUUUCUCUGUGGUCCACGGAUUAGAGAUUUCCCUCCCGACAACACUAUCACCACAUGCCUUGUGGACACCACCAAAGGUUCUUUAAAUUAAAGUUGUAUAAUUUUUCGAUAUUAUUUACCCAAUCAGAAGAGUAAAAAGUUAAUAAUUUUGAUAGUUGAUAAGCGCAGUUUGCAAUUUUAACUAUGUAGAAAUUUUUUGUAAUACUUGAAUUACAAUUUAGUGCCUCUGAUCUAACAUUUUAGUAUUAUAUCGUUGCUACUUAUAAAAUUUUGAUUUUCAGUUAUUCAUUACGAGAGGCGCCUCUCUUCUUCACUAAAAAAACAAUAUUGAAGAAGAAUAUAUUUUCCUUUUUCGAUGAUUUAGAAAUUCUAAAUUAAUUCUAACGAAACCGGUCAUCAAUUCAUAAGUCUCUUUAUCGAAAAUAACUUAUAAUUACAGAAACUCGAUUUUUCUAAAAGCACGUACUCUAGAUUGAGAGAAAAACUAAGAUACUUCUAGAAGUAAACAAAGAUCUAAUUUUAGACGGUAGAAUAUUCAAGUUGACAAUCAGCUCUGUUAAUUAUGAUCUAUAUUAUUUAAAUCUUUUAGAAAUCAAAUUUAACAAUUUUAUACCAUCAUUUGCCUAAUGAUGAAGAAAUAUCAAAUUUGUCUUAUAUUACCUUUUAAAAUUUGACAGUUUUUGAACUGUUUGAAGACUAUGCAAAUGAUAUACAAAAAUUAUGAUAUUUGAAAUAUAAAACGUUUAAAUACCUUAGGUCGUAUUUAAUAGUAUCGAUCGUUACUUCGAAUGCCUUGUUGCCAUAAACAAUGCAGGAGUAAACAAUCUCAUUCACUCAUAGAAAUAUAUAUAUAAAGAGAGAGAGUUCACCCAGAAUACUAAAAGAAUAGUAUUUACUAUUAACUUUUUAACUCUUGGAUCAAUACUAUUCUACCUACCACAGCUAAACCUUAGCCAAAAAUUAUGAUAUUUGAAACAUAAAAAGCUUAAAUGCCUUAGUUAAUAUUUAAUAGUAUUGAUCAUUGAUUAGAAUGCCUCGUUGCCAGAAACAAUGCAGGAGUAAACAAUCUCAUUCACUCCUAGAAGUAUAAAUAUAAAGAGAGAGUUCACCUGGAAUACUAAAAGAAUAAUAUUUAUUAUCAGUUUUUUAACUCUUGGAUUAAUAAUAUUCUACCUACCACCACUAAACCUUAGACAUUCAUAGAUUAAAAAGUAUAUAGUAAACAUUAUUACUUUACAAUCUAAAGUAUCUAACUCCACUCUUUCUCUCUAUACAGAGAGAGAGUCUGACUUGUAUGCUUUUAGAAGUACGGUGACCUCCAUACCAUUAAGUUUUUUAAAAAAAUUUUGGGACUUUUGAAUCGAUGAUCGAUCGGUUCCGUUAGACUUGAUCUAAAGUAUUAGAAAAAUGUAAAAAAAUAAAUUUUGUGAUGUUUCGAUAUUAUUUACCUAACGAUCGAAACAGCUCAAAAGCAACAGCCGAAAAUAAAAAUCUCACAAAAAUAAAGAUACGACACUAAAUUUUUUUUAUAUAAUAUAAAAAAAAAAUUCUAUGAAAAUUACACGUGAUUUAAAUAUUUCUACAUCAUUAAACUUGCAAACGACUCACCACAACGAUUAUAUUGCUUUUGAGUCCCAACAAUCGCUAGGUAAUGAUAUUGAAAAAUUAUGAAAUUUAUUUUGUAUGCUGCUUCUAAACCUCCAAAUCAAGUCUGAUAUUACCGAUUGUCGAUUCAGAAGUUUUAACUUUGAAAACGACUUGAUAUUACAAAAAUUAUUGUGCUUCUAAAAACACACAAGUCUAACUCUCUCUCUCUCUCUCUCUCUCUCUCUCUCUCUCUAUAUAUAUAUAUAUAGCAAAUAAAAAUGACACUAAAAAUUGGUGUGGUGUAGGAAGGCAUGGCGUGAUUAAGGCAUCCCAAAAAGUUACUUGAUCGGUUAAUUAAUAAAUCUACUAAUAAUGGAGCAGUAGUAGUGCUGUCCUUAGCACGAGCCGUCCGGGCAGAACGGACCGACAGUACUGGUCGGCCCAUUAAUUUGAGCUCUAGCCCGGCCUGUCGGCUGCGACGAGUACGUCGAGUCGGUGGACCGGACCAUUCAGUUCGUUGAGCUACGGGCUGAGUUAGGAGCUCCAGAGAUGGUCCCCUCCCCCAACUUAUUUCCUUAUAAUAAUAAUUAGGUUGUUUUUUUAAUAUAUAUAUAUAUAAUAUUUUUAGAGACAUUUUUUUUUUAAGGGUUAAGCUCGUACAGCUUCCUGUAAAUAUAUCGAAUAGUAAAUAUAUUACUAUAAAGCUUGACUUUUCAUAUUUAUUCUUGUAAAAAUCUGGUGAUUUUCAUAUCCGUCCCUCUGAUUUGUUAUCGUUAGAGCACUAUUUAUUUUUUAAUAUAAGAUAAAUGAAAUGAUAUUUUUGCCAUCACAAAUAUGUCCCUUCAAAAAUUUCAACGAUUAAAAUUAUACAAAAAUAUCCUCUAAACAAUUUCUAAUAGUCAUCUUCUUUUUUUCUACCUCUAGAGUUAAGUAUUUAAUCUGUGAUUAACUAUAUUUUUCUAACAGAUCCUAACAGUAGAGAUUUAUUUGAAAAUGUUAGAAUUUUUUCAGAAAUAAAUAUAAAAAUUGAAAUUUGUAGAGAUCGAUAUAUCUAUCAUUCAAUAUGUUUAUAGGGAGCUGUAUGUAAUUAACUCUUUUUCAAAAGUAUAAACGAUAUUCGGGGCGAAUUUGGAGUGGAUCAAGAUUUUUUUCGUUUCCUUUCCCGAAUCCGCCUGGGAUCAUAAAAAUCACCCAUUGCCUACCCCGAAUCCGUUCAUUUCUCUAGUUUACUGCCCAUUUGGAACAGAUUGGGACAGAAGCUCUACCAGCCCAGAUCCAUUUGCAUCCCUAAACGGGGCUUGAGUAAAUGAAGAGUGGGAUAUUCAACUCACUGAACGACGCACUUACGAAUUUAGAUUAAAAGGUUCACGUCAUUUAUUCGCUUUAAAAUGAAAGUUUUUGUAAAUUGCCAUCAAUUCGAUCGCAGUAAUUUUGUGAGGGAGACUUAAGCUGUCAUAUUUAUUUCAUGUAGUUUGACGUCCAUUAAAGGAAAAAUUCUAGAAUGCAACAGGUAUAUUGGUGACGUGACGUAACAAAUCAAUCAAAUAUCUCCUUUUAGGGGUAUAUGUCCCAUCAUGAUUGUAAAAAAAUAUUUUUAUUGUAUUUUUGUUUGAAAAGAAAAAAUGUGAUUGGCUUGUUAUUAAUGACGUGAUGUAAGUGUGACAGUGUAGAAUUCCUUCCAUUAAAGAGUAUGAAAAGGGUGUUUGAACAUGUAAGAACUAGCGGCUGAGUGUGAAUAUUUUGAACUUAAACGCUUUGAAUCAAAAACUUCAGGUCGAAAACUACUUAAUUACAAGUGAAGUCUCCGAACCUGAAUCUGAAUUUGUUAUUGCACGCCUACGUGUCGGUGAGGAAAAAUAAUUAGAUAAAAAUAUACAGAACUUAUCUGAACCGUGGAUCAUUUUGAGUCGGCUACACAAUCUUUCAAAAUCUAAGUUUUACUAUCCAAUCUUUCAAUUCGUUCUCAAUUUGAGCCCGUCAACAGUACUUUAACCUUAAAAUUUAAGAUAAUUACUUACUUUAGUUAAUGAAUUUAUAGUGCAAGAAUUGUAUGAAGGAUACUAAACUAAAUACGUAAUGAUAAGCGAUUGAUUCAAAUUUUGAAGUCAAAAGUAUUGUUGAUCGACUCAAAUCAAACAAAUUGGAAUGUUGGAUAGUAAAAUCAAGAUUUUAAAAUGUUGGAUAACCAACUUAAAAUGGUGUAUAGUUCAGAUAAAUUCUGUACAUUUUUACCAAAUAAUUAUAUAUAAAACAAGUUUAGCUUGAACAGCAAAUGGUGGAUAUGCUUUUGAUUCGAUUCAAAUCCAAUAAUUUCUCGUAGUAUAUAUAUAUGUAGUAAACAGAAAUACACGAGCGCGACAAUUAGAUAACAACCAGUGAGCUAACUUAAAUGUUACUGCAAUAUUAAUCAUCUAUUAAUUGGAGCAUGUACAUAUAUAUUAGCUGAUAAAUGUACUAUAAUUUUCAGUUUUAUUUUGCACACAACAAACAAGAGAAACUGCACAUUCAGGUUAUUAUUGCUCAGGGAGCUUCUCCACAUUGAUUGUUUCAUGAAGAAGCAUUGGAAAUUUAAUGCUUAAAUAACUAAACUUGAAUUCCAUGGGAGUACCUCAUUAUAGCAAAACAUUUACCAACCUUUAAUUUCUCAAUUCCAUGGGUAGUAACAUUUUUCUUUUUUCUCUUUCCUUCUCCUGUUUUCCCAUUUGGUGUUACUUUGGAAAUUAAGUAAAUGCAUCUGUACUUAUUUCCUCUUUUAGUUAUAGAUGGAUCAUAAUUUUUUUCCACAAUCAUAAAUUGUCAUUUACGGCCAUGUAUCAUUAAACAGAAUAUAGAAUAACUAUACUAUAUUUCUAAAAAGAAUUAAUUUACAAUAAUAUAUUUGAAUGCAUCAAAUAGAGACAUUCAAAAAAUAGAGAAUUGUAAGACUAUAGACCAAAAAUAGAGAUAAAGAAAAAAAAAUUUCGAUUUCAUCGUGCGAAAAACUAAUCAAUCCUUCAUUUGUUGGAACUUCUUUUCGCGUGAAACACAUGGGACUACAGAACAAAUAUAAAAAUACUCCCAAAGUCCAAAUAAAACACUACCGAUAGUAUAUAAAUAGUACUUUUUUUAUAGACUUUUUAGUCAUUAAAUCACUAGUACCAUUAUGAAAAAAUAAACUCAAGGACUAAAAAUUAAAAUAUGAUUAUGUAAAUAACGGUUUACAAUUUUCAGAAAGUAUACUAUUGAAAUACUUUGUAUUAUAAAAAUAUAUCACAUUGGUCUAAAGUAGUUUUCAAAAUUAAUAUCCGGAGAAAAACAAAGAAGCUAUUGCUUGAUUUGUAAGAAGUAAGUACUUAGCGUCAAAAACGAUAAGUUUUGAUAAAUAAAUUAUUUGAAUAUCAUAGAAUAUAUUUGAAGAGUACAGGUGCAAUGUAUCAAUUGUACUUAAACACCUGUUCAAAUAAUAAUUUGUAUAUGAUUACGCUCAAAAAAACAACCUCUUACUACACCAAAAAUGGAAAAUAAGAUUUUUUUUGGGUGUUUUAGCUGUAAUUUAAAAGCUAAAGACAAAGUGUUUGGGUACAGUGGAAGGAACAACACCAGGAAUUAUUGACUACACCGGGUGUAUAAGUACAUUUCAUAAUUAGAUACCAAAUUCUAUAAUAAUGAUCUCAAAAUCAAAAACUAACUCAUUGGAUUUAUUCUAGGAUACUUAAAGGCUCUCCCUAUAAGAAAAAAAAAAAAAAAAUUGCAAAACAAAUAGUAAUCCUUUAUCCAUCGUAGAUUAUUGAGACUUUCCAUGCCUUUGUACUAGAUUCUUUAAAUCUUGUGAUUUUUCAUAUAUAGUUCCUUUAAAAUACUAUAGAUUCUUUGUUUGAAUUUUAAGUUUAAGAUGUUACUUAUUAAAAAUUAAAUAUGGUGUACGAGGCACACGAAUACACCAAGUGUAGGAAAUAUUUUUUGAAAGCAGAGACAUAGUUGGUUAAGCAGAGCCAUACGUUGUUAAUUUCCUUUCACACACAAAAAGAUAUAAAAAAAAAAAAAAAAAAGACUCGUUACGCACUUCAUUUUCUACUGAUUAUCAUGAAUUAAUACGACUAUUACACUGCAAACUAACUUUGUUUUCAUGCAAUUUGAAAAGAUAAGUUAAAAAAAACCCUUUAUACAAGAAAAAAAAANNNNNNNNNNNNNNNNNNNNNNNNNNNNNNNNNNNNNNNNNNNNNNNNNNNNNNNNNNNNNNNNNNNNNNNNNNNNNNNNNNNNNNNNNNNNNNNNNNNNNNNNNNNNNNNNNNNNNNNNNNNNNNNNNNNNNNNNNNNNNNNNNNNNNNNNNNNNNNNNNNNNNNNNNNNNNNNNNNNNNNNNNNNNNNNNNNNNNNNNNNNNNNNNNNNNNNNNNNNNNNNNNNNNNNNNNNNNNNNNNNNNNNNNNNNNNNNNNNNNNNNNNNNNNNNNNNNNNNNNNNNNNNNNNNNNNNNNNNNNNNNNNNNNNNNNNNNNNNNNNNNNNNNNNNNNNNNNNNNNNNNNNNNNNNNNNNNNNNNNNNNNNNNNNNNNNNNNNNNNNNNNNNNNNNNNNNNNNNNNNNNNNNNNNNNNNNNNNNNNNNNNNNNNNNNNNNNNNNNNNNNNNNNNNNNNNNNNNNNNNNNNNNNNNNNNNNNNNNNNNNNNNNNNNNNAAAAAAAGAAAUAAAAAAAAAAAAAAAAAGGAGCUCGUUACGUCCUUUUCUACGGAGUAAUGAGUUAUACGACUAUUACACUGCAACUACUUUUGUUUUCAUCAAUUUGAAAAGAUAAUGUUAAAAAAAAACCCUUAAUAAAGAAAAAAAAUUGGGACCAUAAAUAACAACGUACACACACACACACACACACACACAAACACACACACAUAUAUAUAUAUAUAUAUAUAUAUAAAACAAGUCCUAUAUAUAACAAGUCCAGAGCUAAUCAAUAAACGUCCAUUUCCCAUCUGAAUCAGGAAUCUUUCAAGAUCUACAGUGUGACCCCAUAUUUGGAAAUUAAUAUGAUGUGUAAAAUUUGAUUCCCAAAACUCAGCAUGUAAUACAUCUGUAGAAGCCUAUAACUAAUAUUAGUAAUUAAAGAGCCAGGCAUAAGAUCUAGACAUUGUUCUAAGAGCGUGUUUAGUUUGAAUUAUCUGGUCAAUAAUAUAGUAUUAUAAAUGAUACAUAACUAUUCCCAAAAUAUUACUGAACGGGGGAUGGAUAUCUCGCAAUACUGAAGGCGAGUUAUCUGGUAUGUUAUGUAAAAUUAUAAGUUUAACGUUCACACCUCUCCAAAUCCUUUCAAUACACCAUUUUUAAGAAAUUUUAAAUUUAUGUUUUAUUUAAAAUAUUAAAUAUUAUAUUUUUGUUUAGAUUUUAAGUUUUAGAGUAAUAUUAAAUAUUAAUAGUAAUAUUGUGUUAAAAAAAUUUUGCAAAUAUAUAUGAAGAGUAAUUUUAGAAUAAGCUAUACUUUGUUAUUAGAAUUACUGAAUUUUAUAAAAUGAACCAAAUAUAAUAACUCUAUAUAUAAUUUAACACAAUAUUACUGUAUUAACCCAAACGCGAUAAUAUAGUAUCAGUAAUAAUCUGAUUCAGAAAUCUCAGAUACCUAGUUAUAUCGAAAUAACCUGUAAUACUACGUACAUAACACGAGUCAAACACGCCCUAAGAGUAGUUUUAACUUUUAAGUACUCUCAUGUACCAAAUGUCACAGAUACAGAUAUGGAUCGAACACGAGAUACAGCAACGUGACAGCAUUUAAAAAAUUAAAACACGAAUACGAUGUGGACAUCGCUAAUAAAAUAUUAUAUUAUUAAUAUAAUAUUAUAUAAUCAUUAUAUGUAAAAUAUUAAUUUUGUCAAAAUAUUAUUAUAUUUUUUAUAUUAAUGAAAGUUAAUAAAAUUUUCAUUGAUAGUUCAUAUAUUUUAAGAAUUUUGUUUUAUCAUAUAUAAUUUAUUUCUAUUAACUAAAAAAUAUUUUUGCGUUCAUUAAAAGUACUAUUUUAUUUCUUAUAUAAAUAAAAAUUAAUAAAAUUUUUAUUGAUAGUUUAUAUAUUUUUUAAAAAAAAUUACUAUAUAUAAUUUGUUUAUAUUAUUCAAAAAAAUUAAAUUCAUUCUAAACCAAAAUAUUUAUUAUCUUAUAUUAUAUAUACAUAAAAAAAUAAUAUAUAUUGUAUGCACUAUAGAUCUGUAUCAAACGGGCGUUCGUGAUAUGUCCACGUCGGACAAGAGUCUGACAAAACACAUGCGCGUAUUCGAAACGAACAUGCAGGGCUUAUAAAUUGUCCGUCGAAUAUAAAAAUAAAAGCUCACGCACUUGUAUAAAAGUGAAAGCUCAUGCACUUAAUUCAUGCCUCUUUACUCUAAACUCAACAAUCUUAAGUAUUUUUAUGAGUGGAACAAAUCGUCAUAUCUCAUUUAAUUAUCACUUUUUUUUUAAAGAAAUCUAUUAUAUUUACUAGAGCCGCUAAUUAUGGUAGUAGAGAGAGCUUGGAGUUAAUUUCCCCACGACAAAUGUACCACCAACAAUAAUAAUUGUUGAGAAAAAAAAACAAAUAAAUUAUUUCUUGUGCUCGGUGUAUCUAUACAUUUUCACGCACCUCUCUUAGUUUUUUUUUUUGUUUUUGUUUUUUUGUGUACUCUUACAAAAUUAAUUGUGAUUGAAGUACCGUUGCCCAAAAUAUGUAUAUAUAUUUGGGGCUCAGUUUAUAACUUUAUAUGAUGAUGAAGCACAUCUCAAGGAUCACUUUAUCCUUCCGUUUUCUACUAAAAGAAGAUAAAAGCCGUAAUUGGAGAACCCUCUCCAUUAACCAAUCCUUUUCCCCAAUUGUGCCGCAGAUGAUGCAUGAGAACUAAUUGUAGAUCCUAACAAUCUAUAAACACGCUCAUGUUAAAUAUAAAAAUAUAAAAAUAUUAUUGAUCAUCUCUAGCGCAAGUGGCAAAAGGUUUGGUUGUUGAUGCCUGAGGUCCUCCCAAGUUGGAAGCUUAGUUGUUUCAUAUUUUUAACUAAAUUUAUUUCUAAAAGAAAUAAAUAAAAUGGAUAGCAUAUUAUUUUUCUCUCAUAUAUAUAUAUAUAUAUAUAUAUAAUUCUUUCCUAUCUUAAUCUUUUUAGAGAAAGCGAUUUUUCACAUUAUUUAAUAUUAUAUUAGAGCAAUAAGUUUUGAGUUCGAAUCAUAUCAGGUUCCUAACGUAAUUGGUUUCCUCCUAUUUAAUUUAAGUCUAUGCCAUGAGACUACGUCCAAAUAUACGCCCGUAAGGAAUUUUAAAUAUAAAAACACACCUAAAGAUAGAAAAAUAUAAAAACAUAUCCAGAUAUGAAAGGAACUGUUUCAUAAAAAAAUAAAAAAAUGUUUAAUAUAAAAAAUAUAAAAUUAUUUUUUUUUAUUUUAAUAUAAAAUUAUUAUUUUAUUGCUAGCUUAACAAAAACAAAAAGUGAUGUGAACACAAGAAACUUUCAAAAUGGCGAUCCUAAUAUUGUCGUACACUUCAAAAAGAAUCAGUUGCUUUCAUUUCUAUUGUAUCAAUUUUUUACAUUAAAUAGCUGAUCUGUUAUCGAAACAAAAAUCAGGCAAUUGUCAGAAUAUAAUAAUAUAUAAUAAUAAUGUUUGGAUUGGAUUAUUGCAAGCCCUAUAAAUAUGCGCAGAUGCUAUAAAAAAAUUAUUGGCGUGCAUACAAGUCAGUAUCCUAUGACAGAGAUUUCAUGUAUGCUGUAUUAAUUAAUGCACUUUAAUAAAUUUAAUAAUUGCCUAUUUUCUAUCAGCUUUUUUUUAUUUUUUUGUAACACCAAAAAUCCUGAUAAAUAGAACCACUAAUCCAAUACUUUUGAGUGUGACAUUAUUAGUCCUGCAGCUCUUAUAAGAGUUUUACUUUAAUCCUCACACAUUUUUACUGUAAAAUAAAAAAUUAUUGCUUGUACCAAAUGCAUUUGUACGUUCAUUGGCACUACGAUUCAUUAUUCUAACUGUAUCUUAUAUUUCAAUUGAUCUAUAAAUUAAUUUGCAACAUAAUAAGCAUAGAGCAUACUACCCGCUUUAUUUAUUUCUUUUAAAAACAAAUUUAGCUAAAAAUAUGAAUCAACUAAGAUUCGACAAUGAGACCUCGAAUUCCAACCACCAAACCUUUUGCCACUUACGCCAGGGACGGUCAGUAAUAAAUAUGGUGAAAGAAAAAUUUAAGAAUCUCAAAGUAUCAAAUUUAGAUGUUCAAGAAUCCAAAAUGAAACCUGAGUAAAUUAAUUAAGAAGUUCAAAAACUAUAUAUAUAUAUAUAUAUAUAUAUAUAUAUAUAUAUAUAUAGCAGCGCAAUUUGCCCUCGGAAUUUAACAUCUAGGUAUAUAUCAACAGCAGCUGUAGCAGCGGCAGCAGCAGCAGCUUAGCAGAAUGCAGCGGCUGCAGGCACCAGUACUUGGUUGGCUGGUCUGAGAAGCCGAUCCAAAGAGCCUCUCAGCUUUUUGCAUCAGCAGCAUCUCUUGUACUCCCUCAACGCAAACGUACGCCUCGCGUAGUUAAUUUAAUCGGUCCCCCUCAUCGCGCCCCCACUCCAUUCAUUGCUCAUUCAAGAAACCUAAAUGUUUACCAUAUAUGCAAAACGCAACAAGAUAAGAAGCCCCCCCCAGUAUACUACUGUUGCUUUCCCCCUCCAUUCCUUUCCUUUCUCUCAUUAUUAAUUGGUAACUCCUCCUAUUUAUAUUAAUUGGUUCCAUCUCAUAAUUGUAAUCCCGGUUGAUCGAAUUGGUGUGGAGGGAGAGAGAGAGUCUCAGCAGCUAUGAGCGAGCAAGGGGUGAAGGAGAGCGCCUUCGCCACCGUCGACUCGUUCUCGCAGCUUCCGUUCAUACGCGCGGCGCCGCCGCCGCCGCCGCCGCCGCCGGCCAGUUCGAGCCUGCAGCCUUCGGGCCUGCGGCUCUUCGGCUUCGACGUCCCGCCCGAGCGCGCCGACUCGUCGGCGAGAGAAUUCGAAGCCGCGAAGAGCGGCAACAGCGCGAGCAGUUUCAAGGGGAGGAAGUUCGAGUGCCACUACUGCUGCCGGCACUUCCCGACGUCGCAGGCGCUCGGCGGGCACCAGAACGCGCACAAGCGCGAGCGGCAGCACGCGAAGCGGGCGCACCUGCAGUCUGCCGUGGGCACCGCCGCCCUGCCCUACCACAACUACUACGGCCACAGUUUUCACAUGCAGACGGCCGGUUACGGCGCCGCCGACUUCGCCUACCGCAACGUCAGUAGCCAUCUGCUCGGUGGCCGGUUCGAGCCCCUGCUGCCGCCGCCGCCGUUGCCGCUGCAGUCUCCGCACUACGCUUCGUGGGCGUCGACGGGGGGACGGUGCAUCGGCGGAACGGCGUAUCGCGAUCGGUCGGCCACGGUGCUGCCACCACCGCCGUUGUUGAUGGGGAGAGAUGGUGAGUCGAAGGUGGUGUUGUUAGGGUUCGGAAAAGGAGGAGGAGGUGGUGGUGGUGGUGGUGGUGGUGGUGGUGGUGGUGUGCUUAGCACUUCCUCUUCUUCUUGUUCUUCGGCUUCGCCGCGUGAGCGUGGGGGGUUCGGUGCAAGUGCAAAAGAGAGCGUGAGUUUGGAUCUGCAUUUGUAAUUCUAAUUCUAAUUUUUUUUUUUUUUUUUUUUUGUUGGUUUUAAUCUUUAAUAAUAACUAGGUUCGUUUCGUGCCCCCAAUUAAUUGCUUGGAAUGGAAGUACUUGGAUUUUUUUUGCUUUUAGAUCACUGAUCAGUAGAUAAUUAUUGGCUUAUUACGACUAAUAAAUUAAGUUUUAGUAUAUACAGCUCAAGUUGGUACUUAUAUAUCUUCAUUGUUUCCUGGGUAAUUACGUACCUAGCUACGGGCCUUUACACAGGUUAUUCUUAAUUACUUCGCAAUAUUUAAUAUUUUUAUUUUGCGAUCAAUUUGUAAUUAUUAAUAUACUAUCAAUUUAAGUUCCUUUUAAUUUUGAAACUUGCUUAGGACAACUUUAGGGGGCGAAAAAAAUUGAAUGAUCAAUACCUUUCUUUUCGAUAAUAGAUGUCCCACAAAUUGAAUAAAAGAUAAACCAAUUCUCUAUUUAAUAGGCCACAUUAGUGAAAGAUGUAAAUCCCAGGGGAAGAGGAGAUCCUAGGGCAUCUUAUAUAUAUACAAAUACUAUACAAUAUACGACAAGUAUACCACACAUUAUUGUACUAGAACUUAAAAAUUCGCUCAUACUAUUUUUUUUUUUUUUUUUUAGAGAAAGAUAUCAAGCUAUUCGUCUUCACCCAUUUUUUUGGAUUAAGUUUUUAUAAUUUGAGUUCCUGGUCAUCACUUUAUUUUUUAGACAAAGUUAUUAUUUUAGAUUAAGUUUCUAUAAUUUGAGUUCCUAGUCAUCGCUUUAUAUUUUUGGACUGUUAUUUUUUAGAUUAAGUUUCUAUAAUUUGAGUUCCUAGUCGUCACUUCUUUUUUUUUUAAAGAAAAAACUUCAAAAACUCCCAUGUGUUUCACACUUUUUUAUUUUAGUACCCUGUGGUUUAAAGUGUAUCAAAUUAGUACCCGCACUUUCUCACUUUAAUACCCUGUGGUUUAAAGUGUAUCAAGUUAGUACUCUAUGGUUUUAUUUUUGUAUCGAGUUAGUAUCCUGUGGUUUAUUUUUAUAUCAAAUUAGUAUCUUGUGAUUUUAUUUUUGUAUCAACUUAGUACCCUAUGUUUUUUAAACCAGGGUACUAAAGUGAGAAAGUGCGAAACUACAGCGUACUAACUUGAUACACUUUAAACUACAGGAUACUAAAGUGAAAAAGUGCAAAACCACAUGGUACUAACUUUAUAUACUUUAAACCACAGAGUAUUAAAGUGAGAAAAAGUGAAAACAUAAAGGGACUAUUUGAAGUUUCUUUUUUUCUUUUAAGAUUAAGUUUCUACCAUUUGAGUUCCUAGUCAUCAUUUUUUCUUUAGAAAAAAUUAGAAAGCUACCAGCUCGUUUAUUUUUGUAGAGAUAUAUAAACUGAGUUAGAAAUAUGAAACAAUUAGAAUUCUAAUUUUAAAUUUUAGAUAUCAACCGUCGAGCUCUUAGCCAACUGUACCAUAAUGUACUGUUGGUAAUUUCUAAUCACAGUUGAUUGCCGUGUCUUGUGCUGCUAUGAUAUUUAGUCCCAGCUGUUGCCUUUGGUUUUUCGUCUUUUUCUAUUUAAGUCCUGUUUGGUUUCUCGCAAAAAUAUAAAAAAUUAUUUUUAUAAAAAUCUCUUAUUUCUAAUUUUUUACCCGUUUGAUUUAAAAUAAAAAAGUAAAUAUUUUUUAAAAAAAAUCAUAUUUUAUGAAAAACUAACCUUUUCGUUUUUUGAAAUAUUUUUAGAGAAAAGAACACACUAAUUUUUCAUAAAAUAUAAAAAAAAAUUAUAAAAACUUAUUCUCCUUCAAAAAACUAAAAAAUAAUUUUUCAUAAUAAUUUUUUUCUUUUUUUUUUUUUUACGUUUUUGGGACAAACCAAAUACUAGCUUCAUUAUGAUUAAAUCUAAUUAUUCGUAAGUUAUCUGGUAGAGAUCAGCAAGCCAGCGUGAUUAGUAAUUUAAUGAAUUUUUUUUUUUUUUUUUUUUGGCCAAAUUUCUUGCGAUUGUAGAAAGUUCUGGAAGUUAAUUGGGAUUAUAUUAUUUCCUCCUAUUUUAAUUGUCAAUCACAUCACAACAUGUCAUGAAAAUGGCAUUUGUGUUCAUAUUUAUUGUUGUAGUUUUCAGAUUAUCCCAACCAGUAUGACGCGGGAUUUAAUAUCUCUUUGAUAGUCAAUACCUACUACAAGCUCUCAUUAAAGGUAUCUAUAUACGGUAACAAUUUACAUACCUUGAUAAGACAUAUAAUAUAAAAUAUUUAGAAUAUUUUUAACGGUCAAAUAAACGGCCAUUAGGUUCUCACACUUUCGAUCGUUUAUAUGAUGAUAAAUAUUAGGGAAAACUUCAAAAACCCUCCUUAUGGUUUCAAUUUUUUUCACUUUAAUACCCUGUGGUUUAAAAUGUAUCAAGUUAGUACCCUGUGGUUUAAAGUGUAUCAAGUUAGUACCCUGUGGUUUUGCACUUUAUUACUUUAGUACCCUGUGGUUUUAAUUUUGUAUUAAGUUAGUACCCUAUAGUUUUUUAAAUCACAAGGUACUAAAAUGAUAAAGUGUGAAACCACAGGGUACUAAAGUGAUAAAGUGCAAAACCACAAGGUACUAGCUUGAUACAUUUUAAACCACAGGGUAUUAAAGUGAUAAAGUGAGAAACCACAGGAUACUAACUUGAUACACUUCAAAUCAUAUGGUACUAAAAUGAAAAAGUGUGAAACCACAGGAGGGUUUUUGAAGUUUUCCCUAAAUAUUAAUGCUUGAAAUAAAUAUGCGUAAUCUUCUACCCCUAUCUGUUUUAAAAGACUUAAAAUUUAAAUAUUUAGAUUUUUUUUUUGUAAACGUUUAAUUUGAAAGGAGAAUGGAGUAGACCAUUGAGCACUGUUAAGGUUGAUUAUUGAUCUGAACUUUGGCUCGGAUUGACAAUGGUGGUUGAUUACAUGUGAGGUUCAUUCGACCGAGCAAGCUGAGACGGCAACUUCCACUUACUACGCCCCACCUUCUGUGUCGGACGGGACGAAAGAAACUAUCUGGCAAUCGAAGUGGGAGUUGACUUAGGUUUUUAAAAUAAAAAUGCAAAAAAAAAAUCAACACAAUAAAUGAAAAUGAGAAGAGUUAGAAACAAUCAAACUCAAAAAGCACGUGAUUGAUUUGUUUCGAGAUUUGGCCAUUUGUUUACGUCCACGCCAACUUCUCAACAGAAGAGACGAUUAAAUUUCACUAUGUGAUGUAUUUUCUGGCCAAACAUCAAGUCUUUACACCAAGAACACUUCUUCUCACCAGAAAAUUAUACAAAUAUUUUUCGCUCUUUUACAAAUUAUAUCUCAUUACAAUAUUUACUUAAGUUGAGAGAGAGAGAGAGUAGAGAGAUAAAAAACUAUUGAAUACUAAGAAUUACAAGCUCAUGAAUGUAGAAACAAACCACAAAAGCCCUCUAUUUGUAGCCAAAAUCCAACAACUCUCUGUUUCAGAGAUUAUGAACAUUCGAGCGCCCGAACAGGUUUUCAAGCGCUCGCUUUUGUAAUAAAACAAUGCCAGCGUUCAGAAGGGCGCAGUCAGAAAGUCCAAAUCCACCAUUCAAAUCCACAUGUGCUCUGUAGAGAAGAAAAUAGUACAUUAACUUAUGAAAUCUACGCAUUCGAAAGUUGUUUUGAGCGUCCGAAUCCCCCGAAAUCAUGAUUUUCGGCUCUGAACAAUGAAUUAUGGCUUAUUUUCUCUAUUGGGCCAAAUGGGCCUCUUGGGCCGUCUCAGUGAAUUGGAUCAUUAUUUUUGUUGUAAUUUGUACACUUAUACGGGAUAAAGUUUAGGGAAAUUAAGGUCACUGAAUUUGUAAAAAAGUUUUAAGUUAAAUUAUCAAAGUUAAAUUUUUAUUGAUAUUUGAGGCACCAAACUUAUAUCCUUUUGUUUUAGUUGAGUUACAUUAUUAACUUUGUUUAGUUUUUGGUGAGCUAAGUUUGCUUCGGGAUAUUUAUAGCUUUACUCUAAAAAUGAUGACCUGGGUCUAAUAACCUGUAUUUGUUACGGGGUUUCGGAGAGUAAUUUGUAAAGGUGCCUAUCGACCGGAUCGGGUCUGGAUAGUUGAUAUAGUAUAUCCGUACCCUAAAAAAAUAGGUACCAAAAAUAUAUAUAUCCUGUCUAUUUAACUUCGAAUUGGGUCCGGAUUUAGAUAUUUAAGUUAAUAAUAUACCCAUCGGGUCUAUUUUAGCGGAUCUGAAUAGUGACUAUCUGUACCUACUUAAGACCAGAUAUGGUUCAGGUAUGGGUCGGGUUUAGAUCAAGUAUGGAUAACCAUAUGCAUUUUUUUUAUAUAAAUUUUAUUAAACAGUUUAUGAAUAAACCAUAAACCAAUCACUAUAAAAACUCAUGUUCUAAUUAGUUGCAUAUAAUCCAAUAAAAUUCGUUCAAAAGAAAAAAUCAAACAGUAAACGGCUAGAAUUUUUAAAAAAAAGAGUAAAAUAAAAAAAUUAAAAAAUGAGUAAAUAAAAAGACUAGAAUUUUCACUAAGAAUGAAAAUAUACAGAUACCCUUCAUUUAUAAGUCCUAUUAAAAUUGAUUACUGAACUUCAAAUUUUUUUUAUUUACUAUGGAAGUAUUUUACCAGGUCUAAGUUCGAGUCCGGUUCUGGGUUUGAAUUUGAAAACUCUUUAGCACCCUAUCCAUUAGAAGAUCGGGUUCGGGUCGGAUCCAAAUCGGGUAUAGAUAUAAAGUAUCCGGACCAUACUCGAAAUUUUAGUGGAUAAUUUUUUUUAUCCGUAUAUUAUUCAUUUUUUUAUCGGAUUUGGGUAGGGUCGGGAUCAAAUAUGGUAUAUCAGAUAUUUUGGACAGCUUUAAUAAUUUGUAUUAUAUUGUCUUAUCUUAAGAAUAUUAGUCUUUAGAAUAAUGUGAAGAACUAAUAAGCAAUUACGUAUUACAGAUAUUUUGCAUAGAUAUCUCAAACCAAACAACGUCAAAAUAAUAAUAAUAAUAAUAAUAAUAAUAAUAAUAAUAAAAUAUAAUCAUAACCAAAGUUUGCAAAAUAUAUAUAUAUAUAUAUAUAUAAUUAGACUAUCAAUAUAGUCAAAUCAGAUUGUGACAAAAUUUAUUUAAAAUUGGAAGCUGUCGGUUACAAGAUACGAUGGAAAUUUGUUAUAAUUGUCACGAUAUCUCCUACCGACUAAUUAAACAGAUAACUCAAAAUUCAACACUCCUUUUUUAAGGAUCAAACGGCAACUAAGGCUUAGUUUGGUAUUGAAGUCUAUCUAAUGCUAUUAGAUAAAAUAGAGUUGAGGAAAAAAUAUAUAGGGAUAUGCUUCUGCGUUCUCCGGUGGGACUGCAAAGAAUAUAUUAUAACUGACUCAUCGCGAUAUGCGGAACGCAAUAUUACGUACAGAAACAAACAGGGUAUUUUUCCAACGUACUUUCUCACCGCACGUAACGCAAUCACCCCACAAUCCCAAACGAAGCCUAAGAGGGGAGUAAGAGGAAGGGGACAACUAAAAACUCAAAUAAAAUUAAAUUAAGAUAAACAUUGCACAACCAAAUAAAAGAAGAAAAUCAAACUCAGAUAACACAGAUGAUUUAUCCUGAUUCGGCCUUUCUGCCUACUCCAGUCCGGUCCUUCUUCUCCUUCAGGUACCGAUUUCACUAUUACUUGGCCUUUUGAAUAGGACAAGACCAAAGCGUCACACAAAACUUCUUUUAUAACCUCUCAAUAAAACUCAUAAUUACAAAUUAAUGAACAAUUAACAUUUACAGAAUUGUUUUAAAGUUGUAUCCCAAACAACAUCCAAGCCCCUCUUUAAAUACACUAGCCAUCAUUUCAAAAAUAGAACAAAAGUAUAAUUAAAUCAUAAUUGAUUUCAAUUUGAAUUUUAGCCAUAUUUGCAAAUGCAUUUGAAUUAAUUCCAAAAUAAAUU
rnacentral:lncRNA from 1 species